AUGCAAGUCGAACGAACUCUGGUAUUGAUUGGUGCUUGCAUCAUGAUUUACAUUUGAGUGAGUGGCGAACUGGUGAGUAACACGUGGGAAACCUGCCCAGAAGCGGGGGAUAACACCUGGAAACAGAUGCUAAUACCGCAUAACAACUUGGACCGCAUGGUCCGAGUUUGAAAGAUGGCUUCGGCUAUCACUUUUGGAUGGUCCCGCGGCGUAUUAGCUAGAUGGUGGGGUAACGGCUCACCAUGGCAAUGAUACGUAGCCGACCUGAGAGGGUAAUCGGCCACAUUGGGACUGAGACACGGCCCAAACUCCUACGGGAGGCAGCAGUAGGGAAUCUUCCACAAUGGACGAAAGUCUGAUGGAGCAACGCCGCGUGAGUGAAGAAGGGUUUCGGCUCGUAAAACUCUGUUGUUAAAGAAGAACAUAUCUGAGAGUAACUGUUCAGGUAUUGACGGUAUUUAACCAGAAAGCCACGGCUAACUACGUGCCAGCAGCCGCGGUAAUACGUAGGUGGCAAGCGUUGUCCGGAUUUAUUGGGCGUAAAGCGAGCGCAGGCGGUUUUUUAAGUCUGAUGUGAAAGCCUUCGGCUCAACCGAAGAAGUGCAUCGGAAACUGGGAAACUUGAGUGCAGAAGAGGACAGUGGAACUCCAUGUGUAGCGGUGAAAUGCGUAGAUAUAUGGAAGAACACCAGUGGCGAAGGCGGCUGUCUGGUCUGUAACUGACGCUGAGGCUCGAAAGUAUGGGUAGCAAACAGGAUUAGAUACCCUGGUAGUCCAUACCGUAAACGAUGAAUGCUAAGUGUUGGAGGGUUUCCGCCCUUCAGUGCUGCAGCUAACGCAUUAAGCAUUCCGCCUGGGGAGUACGGCCGCAAGGCUGAAACUCAAAGGAAUUGACGGGGGCCCGCACAAGCGGUGGAGCAUGUGGUUUAAUUCGAAGCUACGCGAAGAACCUUACCAGGUCUUGACAUACUAUGCAAAUCUAAGAGAUUAGACGUUCCCUUCGGGGACAUGGAUACAGGUGGUGCAUGGUUGUCGUCAGCUCGUGUCGUGAGAUGUUGGGUUAAGUCCCGCAACGAGCGCAACCCUUAUUAUCAGUUGCCAGCAUUAAGUUGGGCACUCUGGUGAGACUGCCGGUGACAAACCGGAGGAAGGUGGGGAUGACGUCAAAUCAUCAUGCCCCUUAUGACCUGGGCUACACACGUGCUACAAUGGAUGGUACAACGAGUUGCGAACUCGCGAGAGUAAGCUAAUCUCUUAAAGCCAUUCUCAGUUCGGAUUGUAGGCUGCAACUCGCCUACAUGAAGUCGGAAUCGCUAGUAAUCGCGGAUCAGCAUGCCGCGGUGAAUACGUUCCCGGGCCUUGUACACACCGCCCGUCACACCAUGAGAGUUUGUAACACCCAAAGUCGGUGGGGUAACCUUUUAGGAACCAGCCGC
rnacentral:rRNA from 2 species